AUAUAAGAAAUAGUAACAAUCUUCAAUAAUCCAAAAAGGCGAAAUAUGACAUUAAAUAGUAAUAAAUAGCAGUAAAUGCAUUUAAGUAAAUAAAGCAUGUGAGUCACUCGAAAAGGAAUUAGAUCAGUAGAUAUUUUUUCUGACAAUGAUGAAUGAUUGAUGAGCUUUUGAACACUUAGGCUGUUCUUGGACCCGACGGAAAAUGCUAAACAAGAAUCUUAGCAGAAAGAUUAUUUUUGUAUGUUUGCAGUAG
rnacentral:lncRNA from 1 species